UUGUUGGUAAGGUAAAAGCUUACCAAGGCUUCGAUCAGUAGCUGGUCUGAGAGGACGACCAGCCACACUGGGACUGAGACACGGCCCAGACUCCUACGGGAGGCAGCAGUGGGGAAUUUUGGACAAUGGGGGCAACCCUGAUCCAGCCAUGCCGCGUGAGUGAAGAAGGCCUUCGGGUUGUAAAGCUCUUUCAGCCGGAACGAAACGGUUACGGAUAACACCCGUGACUACUGACGGUACCGGAAGAAGAAGCACCGGCUAACUACGUGCCAGCAGCCGCGGUAAUACGUAGGGUGCGAGCGUUAAUCGGAAUUACUGGGCGUAAAGCGUGCGCAGGUGGUUUUGUAAGUCAGAUGUGAAAGCCCCGGGCUCAACCUGGGAACUGCGUUUGAAACUACAAGACUAGAGUGUGGCGGAGGGGGGUGGAAUUCCGCGUGUAGCAGUGAAAUGCGUAGAGAUGUGGAGGAGCACCGAUGGCGAAGGCAGCCCCCUGGGUCAACACUGACGCUCAGGCACGAAAGCAUGGGGAGCAAACAGGAUUAGAUACCCUGGUAGUCCAUGCCCUAAACGAUGUCAACUAGUUGUCGGGCCUUUACGGGCUUGGUAACGUAGCUAACGCGUGAAGUUGACCGCCUGGGGAGUACGAUCGCAAGAUUAAAACUCAAAUGAAUUGACGGGGACCCGCACAAGCGGUGGAUUAUGUGGAUUAAUUCGAUGCAACGCGAAAAACCUUACCUACCCUUGACAUGUAUCGAAGCCCGCAGAAAAGCGGGGGUGCCCGAAAGGGAACGAUAACACAGGUGCUGCAUGGCUGUCGUCAGCUCGUGUCGUGAGAUGUUGGGUUAAGUCCCGCAACGAGCGCAACCCUUGUCAUUAAUUGCCAUCAUUUAGUUGGGCACUUUAAUGAGACUGCCGG
rnacentral:rRNA from 1 species